rnacentral:tRNA from 1 species
UGGCUCAGUUGGUAGAGCAUGGUGUUUGCAGCGUCAGGGUUGUGGGUUUGAUUCCCAC